rnacentral:rRNA from 1 species
CCUANGGGGGGCAGCAGUGGGGAAUAUUGGACAAUGGGCGCAAGCCUGAUCCAGCAAUACCGCGUGUGUGAAGAAGGCCUGAGGGUUGUAAAGCACUUUCACUAGGGAGGAAUACCCACGAGUUAAUACCUCUUGGACUGACAUUACCUAGAGAAGAAGCACCGGCUAACUCCGUGCCAGCAGCCGCGGUAAUACGGAGGGUGCGAGCGUUAAUCGGAAUUACUGGGCGUAAAGCGUGCGUAGGCGGCUCGUUAAGUCAGAUGUGAAAGCCCUGGGCUUAACCUGGGAACUGCAUUUGAAACUGGCGAGCUAGAGUUGAGUAGAGGUAAGUGGAAUUUCAGGUGUAGCGGUGAAAUGCGUAGAUAUCUGAAGGAACACCAGUGGCGAAGGCGACUUACUGGACUCAAACUGACGCUGAGGUACGAAAGCGUGGGUAGCAAACAGGAUUAGAUACCCGANUANUC